rfam:Nematostella vectensis strain CH2 x CH6 NEMVEscaffold_350_Cont24649, whole genome shotgun sequence.
ACCAGGAUGGCCGAGUGGUUAAGGCGUUCGACUCAAGUUCCAAUGUACGAAUGUACGCGUGGGUUCGAACCCCACUCCUGGUA